GCUCUCGUGGCGCAGUGGUAGCGCAGGAGAUUGCAGUACGCAACCCAUCUCAAGGUCCAUCGUUCGAAUCGGUGCGGGAGCU